rnacentral:pre_miRNA from 1 species
AAAAUACUCUGUCCGUUCCAUAUUAGUUGUCGCUAAAAUGGAUGUAUGUAGACAUAUUUCAGUGCUAGAUACAUCCGUUUGAGCGACAACUAAUAUAGAACGGAGGGAGUAGCAU